AUGGAGAAGCAGAUCUGUGACCUGGUGGAGAACCAGACCCAGCUGAGAAAGCGGACAGCCAUGCUGGAAACAUCCCUGGCUGAUGCUCACAAGACCGGGGCCACGUGCACCCAGGACGCGAUCUUCCCAGGCAUCCUUCACUCCGGCGCCAGGACACCACGGACCCUGAGUGCAUCAGCAGCAGAAGACGCGAGCCAAGCCCCAGGACUUACACCAGCUUCAUUCUGGAUCCAGCCCUUACAAAGACCUGAGAUGACCGAAAACCUGAGAAAAGAUGAUGCCGACCCCCCAGAGGACCUCACAUGAUGCCAACCCUCAGACAAUAUAAAAAACUUCCAAAUCAUGCAUUACAUGACAUUAACUUACUAAACAAAAUUUUACAUAAUGAUAUGUCAGUAUCAUAUUUGGUCAUGGUGAAAAUGGGUCAUCAGAGAAACACUAAUGAAUUUUUCACUGUUUUGGUCAAUUAUAUUGGAACAUUCAAAACUGAAAAGUGAUUAAAAAAAAAAAAAAAUUGGAUAAAUAUUUUCAGUCGCCAAAAUUUGCGUUCAACAUUAUUUGUGACCCUGGACCACAAAACCAGUCUUAAGUGUCAAUUUUUGAAAAAAAGUAGUGUAUGGUUUAUUAGGAUCGGACAAUAUUUGGCCGAGAUACAACUAUUUGAAAAUCUGGAAUCUGAGGGUGCAAAAAAAUUAAAAUAUAGAGAAAACCGCCUUUGAAGAUGUCCAAAUGAUGUUCUUAGCAAUGCAUAUAUUUAC
ensembl:lncRNA